rnacentral:rRNA from 1 species
GAUUUCUGGCUUGAUGUACCUGUCCCUCUUGGGUUAACCAGGCUGUGUGACGGAGUAUGUCUGCCAUCCUUCUAGAGAAUACAAGCUAUCCUUUACUGGACCGGUUUGUGUCAUCUAGAUCUUUUACUUUGAAAAAAUUAGAGUGUUUCAAGCAGGCUUUAUGCUAUGAAUACAUUAGCAUGGAAUAAUAAUUUAGGACUUCGGUUCUAUUUUGUUGGUUUCUAGGACUGAAGUAAUGAUUGAUAGGGAUAGUUGGGGGUGCUAGUAUUCAGCGGCCAGAGGUGAAAUUCUCGGAUUCGCUGAAGACUAACUUAUGCGAAAGCAUU